rnacentral:lncRNA from 1 species
AGACCGCGUCCUGUCCUGGGGCGCGCUGGGGAGCCCUGAGAGCUUGCGGAGAGCGUCCAGGAGCGGGACCGGGGAGCCGCUGCGAGGGGCGCAGAGACCCUCUUGGAAUUAUUGAAUCUACAAACCAUUUCUCUGACACUUAAUAGUUACAUUGCCUUUGGAGAAUAAUAUCUACAGAGAGGUCGUGAUUUUGGAUCCCAAGCUAGAGUCCUGAGCUGCAGUAAUCAUUACUUAAUAUUAAUAUGGAAAUGAGUUUGCCCUGUUACAAGUCCCAGAAUCAAUCAGUAAGUAAUUAUGAUAAUCAGUCCUAAAGAUGCUAUGAAAGUGUGGUACUUUCUAGGUGGUAAUUAA